rnacentral:lncRNA from 1 species
AAUACUAAGCAGUCUUGGGAUCCGGUUGAGGUCACAAACCCAGUCCAGUUAGGUCAUUUCCUCUGGCAGCCCUCAGAACAGCUUAGGCACAGCAGGAGGAAAGGAUGCUGGUUUGGUUGAUCCAAGGAGGAGACUAGUCAAUGGGUCCAAUGACAGAUGAGUGUGCUGAGCCAUUUAUGUUAUUGUCUAUCCUAUAAAUUAACAUUGGGAGAAAAUACCUUGGAAGGAGUUGUGAAAUCUGGAGAUAAUAUAGAAGAUACUUGUAUCCUUAAAAAUACACAGUUUGCUUUUAGGGUUUUAUUCCUCUUAAUUCUUUAG